GAUGAACGCUGGCGGCGUGCUUAACACAUGCAAGUCGAACGAUGAAGCCCAGCUUGCUGGGUGGAUUAGUGGCGAACGGGUGAGUAACACGUGAGUAACCUGCCCUUAACUCUGGGAUAAGCCUGGGAAACUGGGUCUAAUACCGGAUAGGAGCGUCCACCGCAUGGUGGGUGUUGGAAAGAUUUAUCGGUUUUGGAUGGAUUCGCGGCCUAUCAGCUUGUUGGUGAGGUACUGGCACACCAAGGCGACGACGGGUAGCCGGCCUGAGAGGGGGAACAGCCACCAGAGGACUAAGAGACGGCCCAGACUCCUAUGGGAGGCAGCAGUGGGGAAUAUUGCACAAUGGGCGCAAGCCUGAUGCAGCGGCGCCGCGUGAGGGAUGACGGCCUUCGGGUGGUAAACCUCUUUCAGUAGAGAAGAAGCGAAAGUGACGGUACCUGCAGAAGAAGCACCGGCUAACUACGUG
rnacentral:rRNA from 1 species